GAUGAACGCUGGCGGCGUGCCUAAUACAUGCAAGUCGAGCGAACAGACGAGAGUGCUUGCACUCUCUGACGUUAGCGGCGGACGGGUGAGUAACACGUUGGUAACCUACCUAUAAGACUGGGAUAACUUCGGGAAACCGGAGCUAAUACCGGAUAAUAUUUAGCUUCGCAUGAAGCAAUAGUGAAAGACGGUUCUGCUGUCACUUAUAGAUGGACCCGCGGUGUAUUAGCUAGUUGGUGAGGUAACGGCUCACCAAGGCAACGAUACAUAGCCGACCUGAGAGGGUGAUCGGACACACUGGGACUGAGAAACGGCCCAGACUCCUGCGGGAGGCAGCAGUAGGGAAUCUUACGCAAUGGACGAAAGUCUGACGGAGCAAUGCCGCGUGAGUGAAGAAGGUGUUCGGAUCGUAAAACUCUGUUGUAAGGGAAGAACAAGUACGUUAGUAACUGAACGUACCUUGACGGUACCGUAACAGAAAGCCACGGCUAACUACGUG
rnacentral:rRNA from 1 species